CCCUAGCCCUGAUGGAAACGGCAUCCUUUUAUGCCGGGGUUCGGCAUGAAAGAUAUAGUGUACAGCGGGAAACAGC
rnacentral:sRNA from 1 species